GUGGCAAUUGUAAACCAACUCUUUAUCCCUUUCUUAUUCAGUACAUGGGAUUGUGUGAAGAUUACCCCUCUUGCGACUAAACCACCAUGUGGUUAUGCCUCUAAAUCGUGCCUCGACACGUGGAAGAUAUAGCCGCAUCAUGGGUGUUACAAUUUAUGAGCUACCUAUUAAGAAAGUAAUGUAAGGGGAAUGCUAAAACUUGAUAAAACCUUUCUUCUCUCCAUUUAUGUGUGAUGGAGUUUAAUACCUAUUGAAGUAGUUUCCCAUGAACCACUCAGUUUCCAUGCAUUGCUUAGUUCCUAACCAGAGACAUAUUCGAAUCAUUUAUAAGAGAGGCGACUUGAGAUCAUCCAAUCAAACCCUUCUUGAAGACAAUUCUCAUCACUGUCUAUAAUGAAAGUUGAAAUCACUCAAAUCAAAACUAAGAUCUUUAGUACUAGACAAAACCUCUUUCAUCAUAAGAACCCAAAUGGGCAUUCAAGAGGAGGAAACCAGAAGAGGUGUACAAUCAAAGUUAAUGACAACUGCUCUCUAAAACGUCAUGCCAACAAAAUAAAUCUCAGAUUCUCAUGCACUGGAUGCUAGCAGUUCAUUCAUUCUAGUGAUACUUUCAGGUUUGGAUGUGCAACCUCAAUGUACGAAUGAUUCCAAGUUCUGAAAUCAUUAGGCUAAUCCAUUAAUGAUGUGAAACCUCAAUAUUUAAUUCUGGUAUGUAAGAUGGCACUAAAUAAACUGGGGAUGUAACAGAAGCAAUUUUAUUUUCCUAUCAUAGGCUGGUAAAAUCAAGAGCUACCACCAACAAUAACAACACCAGGUUGAGGUAGAACAAAUAUGAGUGGUAGAACUUUUACCAUGACCCCCCUCCAUCAUAGGUUCCAGAAAGAAGCAGGAACGACCAAGGUGAAGGGGCACUAUCGAAGAGGCACUGAAGAAACAAGAUGAUUGGCCAGCUGGUUGUGGUAGAAAAAAAGGAAACCAACAACCAUGUAGAAGUGCUCAAUUUCACCUAUAUGUAUAGAGAAAACAGCUUAUCAUUAAAACUUGUAAUGGAUGGCUGCUACAUAAAGCCACAACUUGUUCUGAAAUCAUGAGGCUAAGACAGGGUGUAGUUAUAAGUGUUAUGAUGACAAAAUUAUCCAAUGGAGACACUACUACAUUGCACACCAUAUACAAUGGACUCACCCUGCCUCGAUGGAUAAUUACCUUACCAGAUGGAUGAUGACAUAAUUAUCCAAUGGAGACACUACUACACUGCACAAUUACCACUAAAGUAAGGGAUUUUCAAGGUAAACCUUUUUACCAAGUGUUUGCACUUUGUAGUCCAGUCGCCACAAUUAACAGUGAGCUUGAAUCAAAUCAUCGUAAUCAUCCAUCAUUCUCGUGAGCUCAGAGUGAUGUACAUCUGAGCUCUCCGAGUUCGUAGACUUAGUACCACACCAUCAAACUGCCUAUAUGAUGUUCAAUACUACAUAUGUAAUGUGGAAAUAAAACUUUGAGAGAGAUCCCCUGAGAAAGAAAGAACUACAGAUGUCUAGAAACUUCCUAGAUCGUCGCAUUACUGUUCUUUCUAUCAACAAAUUAUUGACUUGGGAAGAACCUUAACCUGAGUCUGUACUAAACUUAGGUGAUGCAAAACUUAGUAUCUAUCAUGCGUUAAGGAUAAAAGAACAGAACCGAAAUACACUAACUAUGCUUGGUCCAAAAUAUUGAUGAGCAUAUCUAUACUCAAAUCAUAUGUAUCGUACCGCAACAAAUCUGCACAACUCUACUAUUGUCAAACAAGAUUACUUGGACAUAUUUUGGUGUAUUUUUUCCUAUAGUUCUAUUGGGAAAAUAUUACAAAAAAUAUCAUGUAAUUUGUCAUACUAUGGGGUUCUGAAUUCGGCUAACAGUGAUAAAGUACCAGAGAAAGAAGAAAUUUGUAUCGGCUAUGCCUGAAUUGAAAUUGUACUUGAACUCCCUUUUCAGACAGAGUUCACGAAACCUGGAUGAAGGGAUUAAGGAACCAAAUGAAAUCCUUGCAGACCGAGUAAAAAAACUGAACCAGAAAGAAGACCCUCACAUACAUGCUUCCAAGUCACAACUAAUAUAUGCUUGGUAGUGGUGUCUUGCAAGUCACAACGGAGUUCACAAAACCUGUAGGAAGAAAUCCAAGCCCUGAUGGCCAAAUCAAUCAAUCCUCUGGUUCACAUAAGUUAGCCAAUGUAUCAUUCUUUCUUUGGAUCCCAUGUUGUACUUGUGCAAGUUUGAUGAUCCAGAAAUGAUUGGAAAAAUCUAUCAAAUUCCAGUCAGCACGAAUCUAUCUUAGGAUGACAAAACAAAACAUGGAAGAGAAUUGAUUAAGCCCACACCCACAGAUCCAUACAUACAUACAAUGCAAAGUACUAAACAAAUAAAAGGACAAUGAUUGAACUUUCUUCGCAGUGUGAUCCUAUAUCUUAUUAAAGCCUAAAAUGAAGUGUGAUCCUAAAUAUUAUUAAAGCCUAAAACUGAAGGAUUCAACGCAGUUUUGCAUUUCAUCAUGAAAUCACUAAGGGUUCCAAAUAAUGUUCAACAUCGCAAAAAAUUAAACCUAAAAAAAGGGCCGAAGACAUUAAAAAAGGAAUGCUCGCCGGGGGCCUGGAUUUGUUGGUUGUUGAUUCUCGAAACAAAAAAAAUUCCUCAAAGAGAUUAUCUGACAUUGACAUAGUCCCUAAUUUUUUUUAACACGAAGCAAGAUAAAAUCUGUUUGAAUUAUAUUUUGGUAGUUUAUAUGCACCACAAUACCGCUUCUAUUAGAGUAUAUGAUUAAAAAACAUUUAGAGGACCAUGAAUCUGACUGCAAUAGUACAACUAUAAUGUCUUCUAUUUAUUCUGAUCUGGACUGCUAUGUAAUGAAAUUGCAGAAAUAUUAACAUGAGCAUGGCGACUGUAGUAAAUUAUCUUUGGAGCACAUCCUAGGGGCUAGGGAGUGGCCAGCUCAAAUGACCUCAAUCCAAAACUCAUCACAAAUCGUACGGAACCCCCACUUAACUAAAUAGCACAAAACAGGGUAUCUUUGUGUAUUCAUACGGAAGAACCCAUCGCUGCAUUGGUAAAGAAAAGAGAAAGAAACAGAGCACCUACUUCUGUCGCCUCUUCCAUCCAUCUGUGACAUCCUAGCCUCUCCUCCCCAAUGACCAGACUUGCGCCGCCAUCACAACAUCAGGGAGACAGAUAUAGGGAAUACCCCAACACCAAAAUCGGCCUUCCAUUGUCGAAGCUUCCGCCUAGGCUGACCAGAACCUCUCUUUGGCCUUGUCUCCGAUCCUGCCACUCGACUCAUAUACCCCUCCAAAUCCGUGAAAGAACUGGGGCCCUGUCCAGAUCUGAGGGAAAGGGGACAGGGAGAUCAUCAGGGUUGCUCCCUGAGCGGGAUGGGGGCACCAGCAAGCAGAGACAUGGCUGGGCAAGCAAAUUAGGAGGGCAACACUGCGACCC
rnacentral:lncRNA from 1 species